UGCCAGCCGCCGCGGUAAUACGGAGGGGGUUAGCGUUGUUCGGAAUUACUGGGCGUAAAGCGUACGUAGGCGGUCUGGUAAGUCAGAGGUGAAAUCCUGCAGCUCAACUAUAGCAUUGCCUUUGAUACUGCCAGACUUGAGUUAUUGUGAAGUAGUUAGAAUGUGUAGUGUAGCGGUGAAAUGCAUAGAUAUUACACAGAAUACCGAUUGCGAAAGCAGAUUACUAACAAUAUACUGACGCUGAGGGACGAAAGCGUGGGUAGCGAACAGGAUUAGAUA
rnacentral:rRNA from 1 species